GGAUCCACUCUAGCACUUAGUAAAGUGCCUGGCCCAGAGGUUCCUUCAUUCGAGGAAGUUUGCACUUUGGCACUCUGAGAGGCCUCCAUCUUGGGAAUCCAGGAAGAACCCAGAAUAGCACCGAGAGUUGGUCCAUGAACGUUCUCCCUCAUGCAGUGUUCUGUACACCGUAAGUGCUGAAUAAAUUCCACCGAUUAGUUGAUUCAGCCAUUUAAGUGUUCUGGAGCACUUACCGCUUGUGGAGCACUAUUCCAGCCUCGGGGGAGAGUUAAACGAAAGCAAAAGACACAAUCACUGCCCUUGAGAAACUAAUUUACAAAGGCUGUAGGGGAAAAAGAGAUUCAAAAUGACACACUAAUUUUUUGGAUAUCUCAUUUCAUUGCUGUUUUCCCCCACCCCUCCACCUCCUUGGAGGAGAAACUAGUUUAAAUACAUUUUUAUAGGCUUUUCUACCACACCCCCUUCAUCCAGCCUCAGGGAUCUCUUCAUCAAAGGUGGCAACAAAUCAAGAAUCCUUUUACAAUUAGGGCAGGGGUCAAGGGAUUUCAGGAAAAUUGCUAUUGCAGUGGUGUGGAGAAGUUUCCACAUAGCUGGGUGUCCUAGUGUCACAUCCCUAAUAAAUGAGGGCCACCAAAUUCUCUGCUUUUCUUUUAUAAAAUGUGCGCUCUUUAAUCAGCCAUGUUCAUACCUUUAACCUGACCUCAAACAUGAAAAAUUCUCUAAUCCUGGUCAUUCCAUCAAAAGGGGCACUUGAGGAAAUCCAAUGGGAAAUUCACUAAAAUGAACAAAGAUGCAAAAAAAUGCUAUUAAAACAUGAAUAGAGAUCAAGAUGAUCCCAAAGCCCAUUAGCAAUAUUUAACCUCCAGUCUGCAGCAUGAUAUGAAUGAAAUGUCUUUUCUCUCUUUCAAACUGUACCCACAUGAACACAAUGGAAAGAGAAGGUGGGUGGAAAGUUGUAGGAGACAAUGUAAAAUAACUGAGAUUUAUGUUUGUUUAAGCCUCUGAUUUGCAUUUCAGCUUUCUAAUAACUGACUUCAUGAGUAACAACCCGUGGCUGUGUGAAAGCUUUUCAGAUUUCAUUCUUCUCUUUGCAAGCUUUUGGAAGUUGUUGCUAAGCAAACCUUUUCCAGCUUCUGGGACAUUCCAAACAGAGUCUGAAGAUAUUCAACUGUACUGGUUUGGCAAUAAACAGUCAUGUGACCACA